GAGUUUGAUCAUGGCUCAGGACGAACGCUGGCGGCAGGCUUAACACAUGCAAGUCGCACGAGAACGUUCUGGCUUUGCCAGAACCAAGUACAGUGGCGAACGGGUGCGUAACGCGUAGAUAACCUGCCUUCAGGCGCGGGACAACUACGGGAAACCGUAGCUAAUACCGCACGACGUCUGGAGCCCGCAUGGGCACCAGAUGAAACCCUGCUUUGCAGGGGCCUUUGGAUGGGUCUGCGUCGGAUUAGCUUGUUGGUGAGGUAACGGCUCACCAAGGUAACAAUCCGUAGCUGGUCUGAGAGGACGAUCAGUCACACUGGCACUGAGACACGGGCCAGACUCCUACGGGAGGCAGCAGUGGGGAAUCUUGCACAAUGGGGGCAACCCUGAUGCAGCCAUGCCGCGUGGAGGAAGACACCCCUAUGGGGCGUAAACUCCUUUUCUGAGGGAAGAAACCCCUGUAUGUUCAGGGUGUGACGGUAUCUCAGGAAUAAGCACCGGCUAACUCCGUGCCAGCAGCCGCGGUAC
rnacentral:rRNA from 1 species